AUGAGGCCACCGGCACGAGGAGGACGCGGCGGGAGGGGUUUCGGCGGCCGCGGGGGCAGGGGCGGCAGGGGAGGCAGGACGCCCAGGGGCCGUGGUGGUCGUGGCGGCGGUGGAAGGGGAGGGGCCGGCAUGAAGGGCGGCAGCAAGGUGGUCGUGGUGCCGCACAAGCACGACGGCGUCUUCAUCGCCAAGGCCAAGGAGGACGCGCUCUGCACCAAGAACAUGGUCGCCGGGGAGUCCGUCUACGGCGAGAAGCGCGUCUCCGUCCAGAACGAGGACGGCACCAAGGUUGAGUACAGGGUGUGGAACCCCUUCAGGUCAAAGCUGGCCGCCGCUGUUCUUGGUGGCGUCGACAACAUCUGGAUUGCUCCUGGUGCUCGUGUGCUGUAUCUUGGUGCUGCCUCUGGAACGACAGUGUCUCAUGUGUCUGAUAUUGUUGGACCGACUGGGUUGGUGUAUGCUGUGGAGUUCUCGCACCGCAGUGGCAGGGAUCUUGUCAACAUGGCCAAGAAGAGGACCAAUGUGAUUCCCAUCAUCGAGGAUGCUAGGCACCCUGCCAAGUACCGGAUGUUGGUCGGCAUGGUUGAUGUUAUCUUCUCUGAUGUUGCACAGCCUGACCAGGCUAGGAUCUUGGCCCUUAAUGCUUCAUACUUCUUGAAGAAUGGUGGUCACUUUGUCAUUUCAAUCAAGGCCAACUGUAUCGACUCCACCCAGGCCCCUGAGGCCGUGUUUGCCGCCGAAGUUGAGAAGCUGAAGCUUGAGCAGUUCAAGCCUUCGGAGCAGGUGACCCUGGAGCCCUUCGAGCGUGACCAUGCCUGCGUUGUCGGUGGCUACAGGAUGCCUAAGAAGCCCAAGGCGACUUGA
rnacentral:rRNA from 1 species